CCGCCCCCAACCCCACCAUCCCCCAACACUGGGCCACGGUAAAGCGGUUCAUCUGUUUCCUCAAACCUGAAACACAGCCGGGCUUUUCAGGGCUCUAAGGCCCCCGAAUGUGGUGGGUGCCCCGGAGAAGGACAGGGCAGGGACGUGUGGGGAUCUGGCCCUCUCCCGCUUGCAGGUGUGGCUGGCGUACGCGUUGGGAGCGCCUGCUUGCCCCUCCUCCGGGGGGGAAGGACUGGCCGUCGUCCCUGCCCCGGGGGUGCGGGUGCGCCGAGCCCUCGGGAGGCCUGGCUCUGGUGUGGGCUGCGGGGAGAAGGCGCGGGAAGGAAGGAAGGAGGCGAAGCGGUGCGGGAGGGAGGCGGCCGUUGCCAUGGAAGGAGCUGCAAGCCUCCCUGCAGACCGCGAGCGGAGCCCCCGCACCCCCGGGGCUGGCCCCUGGCCUCCCGCCCCAGCCCGGCCGGCGGCCCCUCCCUGCUCCGCUGUCCGCCUUGGGUACAGAAGCGGCGAGUGGCCCCUUUCCAGGAGGCCUGUUUACCAGCACGACAACGGCAAAUUAGUGCGCUUAAGAGGCAUUCGGCGUUUAUCCCGGCAAACAUGCGCAGCGUGAAGGGGGCCUGCGAGGCCUGCUCCCCGGAAUCUGCUGAAAUGGGGUCUGCUGUGCAUCUUAAUCGACUUACUUCCACCCAUCACAUUAAACGCAUUUAAUCUACUCUUGCAAAUGGCUAAUUUUGAAAAUCCGCUUAUCAGAAUUAGGUCCUCAACAUCCAUAUUUAUUUACUUUCCAUUUUCAUAAUCUUUUUUUUUUUUUUUUCCCCUUGUGUGGGACUGAAUUCCAUUUACUAUUGUCUGGCUCGCUCUCGCCCGUCCCGGGGGGCCGGGGCAGGGGACAAGGGCCAGGUUAGGAGCAAACUGGAAAUGGAAACCUGGCAGGGAUGAAAGGCAUGGGCUCGGGAUUUGAGGACUGGGAGGCUCUUCCCGGGUGGCAGCAUCUUCAGGAAAUCACCAAGAGCUGAGGCUUGAGCAGAGCAGGUUUAAAAAGGCGAUGAGGAAGUCUUGCUGAAUCGCAGGCGCCCGGGGCCUGCCUGGCAGGAAUCAGCAGCCGUGUCAGAAAUGUGCAAGAAAGUGGUUGGGAUCAACUGUCUUCCCCAGCGCCCCCGGUGCCAGGCUCCGUGCUAAGCGCUUCACGUGGACCAGCACUCAUGCUCACGCCAGCCCUGCUCAGUGAAUGCCAGGCGCGUCUCGCAGACAAGAAGACUCCUGCUGUGGCUUAGACCCACAUUUACAUCCAGACUGCACGUCCUCCUCUGCAGCAUGUUGUCAGGUGUGCAAGGCACGUUUUUCCUAUGAGUGUGUAAGAAACACAAGUUUGUGUGUGCAGGACUCAGGCCUGUGAGAAACGCAGACUCAAGGGAGAGAUGGGUGUUCAGAAUCUGGAAGAUGGCUCUCCAGGUCACAACCUGUGCAGCCUCAAGCGUGGAUUCCGCAUGUGGCUUUCCUCACCACGUUUGGGCUCUGCAAGUUUGCUAAGAGUCGCUACAGAGCUAGGAAGAGCCGCCAGGCCUCUUGGCCUCUAAAGGACUUAGCACUCAAUGUUAAUUUUGUUGUUGCCAGUCCCCUAAUGAGCUGAUUUGGCACACAUCUAGAGCAAAAACCUGAAUUUCACUUCGUUUAAUUUACUUUCAACAUUGGCUGGGCACCUCCUAUUGGCCAAGUGAUGUUCUGCAGAAUACCUGGGUGGAAGGAUAAAUCCGAUCUGUUUCGAGCCUUGGGAAGCUCACAUUUACUGGAUUUUACAAGAAAGGCUCAGAACAACAAAGUGUUAACAGAUGCAUACCAGACAAUUUUAUUCUCCCAAAGAACUGCUAAGUUAUGUUGUAGCCAUCUUAGAUUUCCAGAUCUAAUGGGAAUUCUAAAGCAUAAGGCAUUAAUUACAUCUUGGUGGUUGAGAUUAGGGCUGAAUUGUCUGCAGACUUGAACUCAAACCUGCAGUUCUGCCGCCUUCACUGUAUGACCUUGGGCACAUUGGACCCUCAAUAUCCUCAUCUGUGUAAUGGGGGUUAUAUAAAUAUCUACCCAUAGGGCUCCGAAGAUCUAAAUUAAUGCUGUAGGUGGAGCUUUUAGUGAGGUAUCUGACAAAGGCCUACACCUAACAACCAAAUAGUAAGCAUUAUGAUACAUAAUCAUUUACUGAAUCAAACUCAGCAAAUAGAAUUCAAAGACAGAAAUAAACAUUGAUCAAGUGUUUUUCAUUGUUCCGAGUAUGUUGGUGAGCCACCUGGAAAGCUAACGAAGCAGUCA
rnacentral:lncRNA from 1 species